GAAGGCAUCUUCUGGGGUGGAAAGAACCCCGGUCAAGGAUGAGCUCGCGGCCUAUCAGCUAGUCGGUGAGGUAAUGGCUCACCAAGGCGACGACUGGUAGCCGGCCUGAGAGGGUGACCGGCCACACUGGGACUGAGACACGGCCCAGACUCCUACGGGAGGCAGCAGUCGGGAAUAUUGCACAAUGGGCGCAAGCCUGAUGCAGCAACGCCGCGUGAGGGACGACGGCCUUCGGGUGUUAAACCUCUAUUAGUAGGGAAGAAGCGACUGGGUUUUCCUGGGAGUGACGGUACCUGCAGAAAAAGCACCGGCUAACUACGUGCCAGCAGCCGCGGUAAUACGUAGGGUGCAAGCGUUGUCCGGAAUUAUUGGGCGUAAAGAGCUCGUAGGCGGUUUGUCGCGUCUGCUGUGAAAACCCGAGGCUCAACCUCGGGCCUGCAGUGGGUACGGGCAGACUAGAGUGCGGUAAGGGGAGAUUGGGAAUUCCUGGUGUAGCGGUGGAAUGCGCAGAUAUCAGGAGGAACACCAAUGGCGAAGGCAGAUCUCUGGGCCGUAACUGACGCUGAGGAGCGAAAGCAUGGGGAGCGAACAGGAUUAAAUACCCUGGUAGUCCAUGCCGUAAACGUUGGGAACUAAAUGUGGGGACCAUUCCACGGUCUCCGUGUCGCACCUAACGCAUUAAGUUCCCCCCCCGGGGAAUACCGCCGCAAGGCUAAAACUCAAAGGAAUUGACCGGGGCCCGCACAAACGGCGGAAACAUGCGGAUUAAUUCCAUGCAACGCGAAAAACCUUACCCAAGCUUGACAUAUACCGGUACCCCCUGGAAAACAGUGCCCCCCAAGGUCGUAUACAGUUGUUGCAUGGUUUCCUCACCUCUGUCCUGAAAUUUUGGUUAAU
rnacentral:rRNA from 1 species